rnacentral:rRNA from 1 species
CGGAGAGUUUGAUCCUGGCUCAGGACGAACGCUGGCGGCGUGCCUAAUACAUGCAAGUCGAGCGGGGUUAAUUAGAAGCUUGCUUCUAAUUAACCUAGCGGCGGACGGGUGAGUAACACGUAGGCAACCUGCCCACAAGACAGGGAUAACUACCGGAAACAGUAGCUAAUACCCGAUACAUCCUUUUCCUGCAUGGGAGAAGGAGGAAAGGCGGAGCAAUCUGUCACUUGUGGAUGGGCCUGCGGCGCAUUAGCUAGUUGGUGGGGUAAAGGCCUACCAAGGCGACGAUGCGUAGCCGACCUGAGAGGGUGAUCGGCCACACUGGGACUGAGACACGGCCCAGACUCCUACGGGAGGCAGCAGUAGGGAAUCUUCCGCAAUGGGCGAAAGCCUGACGGAGCAACGCCGCGUGAGUGAUGAAGGUUUUCGGAUCGUAAAGCUCUGUUGCCAGGGAAGAACGCUUGAGAGAGUAACUACUCUUGAGGUGACGGUACCUGAGAAGAAAGCCCCGGCUAACUACGUGCCAGCAGCCGCGGUAAUACGUAGGGGGCAAGCGUUGUCCGGAAUUAUUGGGCGUAAAGCGCGCGCAGGCGGCUCUUUAAGUCUGGUGUUUAAUCCCGAGGCUCAACUUCGGGUCGCACUGGAAAC